rnacentral:tRNA from 1 species
AAUAAAAGUUUAAUUGAAAGCUUCUAACUUUCUAAAAGCGGUUAAAUUCCGUUAAUAUUCCU